rnacentral:rRNA from 1 species
AUUUACAACUCCCAAACCCAAUGUGAGACGUUACCAAACUGUUGCCUCGGCGGGAUCUCUGCCCCGGGUGCGUCGCAGCCCCGGACCAAGGCGCCCGCCGGAGGACCAACCAAAACUCUUAUUGUAUACCCCCUCGCGGGUUUUUUUAUAAUCUGAGCCUUCUCGGCGCCUCUCGUAGGCGUUUCGAAAAUGAAUCAAAACUUUCAACAACGGAUCUCUUGGUUCUGGCAUCGAUGAAGAACGCAGCGAAAUGCGAUAAGUAAUGUGAAUUGCAGAAUUCAGUGAAUCAUCGAAUCUUUGAACGCACAUUGCGCCCGCCAGUAUUCUGGCGGGCAUGCCUGUCCGAGCGUCAUUUCAACCCUCGAACCCCUCCGGGGGGUCGGCGUUGGGGAUCGGCCCUGCCUUGGCGGUGGCCGUCUCCGAAAUACAGUGGCGGUCUCGCCGCAGCCUCUCCUGCGCAGUAGUUUGCACACUCGCAUCGGGAGCGCGGCGCGUCCACAGCCGUUAAACACCCAACUUCUGAAAUGUUGACCUCGGAUCAGGUAGGAAUACCCGCUGAACUUAAGCAUAUCAAUAAGCGGAGGGAAAAAAA